UUUGCCUCAGUUGAGGCCACAUGGUGAGGCCACCAUGUACCUUUCCAGCUGAUAGCCAGGGCUGAGGUCCCAGCCAACACUGGCCACCUGAUGAAUGAAGAAGACAGACACCUCCACGUGGUCCCAGCCAUGGAACCACCCCCAGCUUUCAAGUCUUCCUAGCUGAGGCCCCUAGAUAUUGUGGAACAGAGAUAAGCCGUCACCCAGCAGGAAGAAGCUGUGGCUGACAUCAUAAUAGGCCUACAAAGUGUUUUUUUGCCAAGGGAAGCCCUUUGCCAGAACAGACCCCGGACUGUCCCCGCAGCAGUUGUGCUGGACAGGACCCACCAGGCUGGGAGCAGAACCGGUCUGUGUCCACCUCCAGCCACUUUUAAUUAAGAUUGUUCAACUACCUCACCUUCACCAGGAGGCAGGUAGUAAAGAGUAAAUCAUAAAUAGGAUUCACUAUGUGGCAAACACUAAUCCUCAAAAGAGUUUUGUGACACAGGCGCGAUUAUCAUCUUUUUACAGACGAGGCAGCACAUAGGUACCAAGGUUAAGGAUCAGAGUAACCAUGAAUUAGUGGUGAAUCUAAGGUAUGGGCCCAGGCUCUAAACAUUGGGCUGAGCUGCCUUUACUAGAGCAAACGAAUACACUGAAAUAACCAAGAGAGAGGAAGUCAAUGAAUCUCAAGUAGCAGGCUGACAGCCUGGCAGAAAGGAGAGGAAGUUAACAGAUACCCCAGCGAGCUACAAAGGCACCUGUCCUCCCAAUCCCACCCCCAAAGCUUGCUGUACGGACCAGCAACACCGAAGCCCAGGUCGCGACAGGUCUGGGCAGACGGCACGACGGUGCACAUGGAAGCAAGCACUUUAGACGGGGUGAUGUGGACACUCACAUAACUGACACACAGGAAGAAGGUGAGGCGUGAUUCCUAAAGCUGCCUGGUUGCCAGCGAGGACUCCCUGUACAGCUCCAGGAAAGCCCUUCUGCGAGCGCCUGAGCCCCCGGUUCCCCCACCGCC